rnacentral:rRNA from 1 species
GAUGAACGCUGGCGGCGUGCCUAAUACAUGCAAGUCGAGCGAACGGACGAGAAGCUUGCUUCUCUGAUGUUAGCGGCGGACGGGUGAGUAACACGUGGAUAACCUACCUAUAAGACUGGGAUAACUUCGGGAAACCGUAGCUAAUACCGGAUAAUAUUUUGAACCGCAUGGUUCAAAAGUGAAAGACGGUCUUGCUGUCACUUAUAGAUGGAUCCGCGCUGCAUUAGCUAGUUGGUAAGGUAACGGCUUACCAAGGCAACGAUGCAUAGCCGACCUGAGAGGGUGAUAGGCCACACUGGAACUGAGACACGGUCCAGACUCCUACGGGAGGCAGCAGUAGGGAAUCUUCCGCAAUGGGCGAAAGCCUGACGGAGCAACGCCGCGUGAGUGAUGAAGGUCUUCGGAUCGUAAAACUCUGUUAUUAGGGAAGAACAUAUGUGUAAGUAACUGUGCACAUCUUGACGGUACCUAAUCGGAAAGCCACGGCUAACUACGUG